rnacentral:lncRNA from 1 species
UAAAAGUUAAUUUGAAUAAUAAAAAAGAUAAGUAUAUAAGUACAUGGAUAUCUAAGUGUAUAGAUAUAUAGUGAUAUAGAUAUAUAAGUAUAUGAAUAUAUAAGCAUAUAUUUAUUUUUUUUAUUUUUUUUUUUAAUUUAACCUUCUAAAAUAUUAAGGUGUAUGUCUUAUCUUUAAUUUAGGAGAAAAAUGAGUAACACUGAGAACGUCGAUAUAGAGAUACUGAAAUUUUUGCAAUGCGCAUUUAAAGAAGGCGUAAAAGUAAAAAGUGCAGCCGAAGUUGGAAAAAGGGCUGUGGAAUACUUCAGAGGCGAUGAUUUUGUUAAUUUUAUGAAUGAUAAAAAGGAAAUGAUAAAAAAGAAGUUUCCUAAUUUAUUUAGUAAUAAGAAAUUGGCUGAUUUAAAAGAUAUAGAAGAUUUUGCUGACAUGUUAAUACAAAAAGGAUAUAUAUAUAAAGCUCAAUAUAAGCCUAUUAAAGGAGUAAAUGAAACUGAUGAGAAUGGUGUAUACAAAAGACCUAAAUGGCCUAAAAGAUUAAUUAUGACAUCAAAACAAAAUUUUGAUAAAAAUGGUUUUUACAUUUUAGUACAUGAAAGAAAUGCUAGAUUGCAAUAUGUUAUGUUAAUAACAUUAAUAUCAAUUGUUUUGAUUUGUUGCAUGUUUCCGGUUUGGCCAUUAAAAUUAAAAUUAGCAUUAUGGCAUUUGUCAGUAGUAUUUAUAUGUUUAAUUUCUGUUAUAGUAAUAGGAAGGUUAUUAACCUUUUUAUUGUUUUGGUUUUUUGGAGUUGAUUAUUGGAUAUUCCCUAAUUUAUUUGAUGAAGAAUGUAAUGUAGUUGAAUCCUUUAUUCCUUUUCAUUCGUGGCAUUAUCGUAAUGACACUUGGUUUCUUGUUAUUGCUCGAGCAUUUACUGCUGUUUUAUUAGCUAUAGGUAUACAUCAAUUAGGAAAAACACACUCUAUAUCAGAUAUUCAGAAUUUUGCAACGCAGUCAUUUAUUGAUAUAAUCGAAUGGGGUAAUAAAAAAUUAUCUGAUACCCCUGAACAUGUGUCUAUGUAUAAAUCUCUAGACGCACAAGCAGCUUUUGACAUGAGCACUACUGAGGAAGAUGAAGUUGUUUAUGAUGAAAAUGAAGAAAACUAUGAUUGUUUAAAAAAAUGUGGGUUUCAAACGUUCCAGGAGUUAGUCAGGAAGUGUUUCUUAAAAUGUGAUUGUUUGGAGGUACGUUUUAUGUUUUUUAAAAAAAA